rnacentral:rRNA from 1 species
AGUGAACGCUGGCGGUAGGCCUAACACAUGCAAGUCGAACGGCAGCACAGUAAGAGCUUGCUCUUACGGGUGGCGAGUGGCGGACGGGUGAGGAAUACAUCGGAAUCUACUUUUUCGUGGGGGAUAACGUAGGGAAACUUACGCUAAUACCGCAUACGACCUACGGGUGAAAGCAGGGGAUCUUCGGACCUUGCGCGAUUGAAUGAGCCGAUGUCGGAUUAGCUAGUUGGCGGGGUAAAGGCCCACCAAGGCGACGAUCCGUAGCUGGUCUGAGAGGAUGAUCAGCCACACUGGAACGGAGACACGGCCCAGACUCCUACGGGAGGACGCAGUGGGGAAUAUUGGACAAUGGGCGCAAGCCUGAUCCAGACAUACCGCGGGGGUGAAGAAGGCCUUCGGGUUGUAAAGCCCUUUUGUUGGGAAAGAAAAGCAGCAGGUUAAUACCCCGCUGUUCUGACGGUACCCAAAGAAUAAGCACCGGCUAACUUCGUG